rnacentral:rRNA from 1 species
AUUGAACGCUGGCGGCAUGCUUUACACAUGCAAGUCGAACGGUAACAGGCCUUCGGGUGCUGACGAGUGGCGAACGGGUGAGUAAUGCAUCGGAACGUGCCCAGAGGUGGGGGAUAACGCAGCGAAAGCUGUGCUAAUACCGCAUGUGAUCUGAGGAUGAAAGCGGGGGACCAAGCAGCAAUGUUUGGCCUCGCGCCUCUGGAGCGGCCGAUGUCAGAUUAGGUAGUUGGUGGGGUAAAGGCCUACCAAGCCGACGAUCUGUAGCUGGUCUGAGAGGAUGACCAGCCACACUGGGACUGAGACACGGCCCAGACUCCUACGGGAGGCAGCAGCGGGGAAUUUUGGACAAUGGGCGCAAGCCUGAUCCAGCAAUGCCGCGUGCGGGAAGAAGGCCUUCGGGUUGUAAACCGCUUUUGUACGGAACGAAAAGGCUCUGGCUAAUACCUGGGGCUGAUGACGGUACCGUAAGAAUAAGCACCGGCUAACUACGUG